rnacentral:ncRNA from 2 species
UUUCAUUCCUGGGGGCGCCAUUGCGAUGGCUGAGACUCCGUAUUGUGUGCGGUAACCCUUCGAACCUGAUCCGGGUAAUUCCGGCGAAGGGAAGGAAACGCCUGCUCCA